rnacentral:rRNA from 1 species
GGAGCUUGCUCCUGGAUUCAGCGGCGGACGGGUGAGUAAUGCCUAGGAAUCUGCCUGGUAGUGGGGGAUAACGUCCGGAAACGGGCGCUAAUACCGCAUACGUCCUGAGGGAGAAAGUGGGGGAUCUUCGGACCUCACGCUAUCAGAUGAGCCUAGGUCGGAUUAGCUAGUUGGUGGGGUAAAGGCCUACCAAGGCGACGAUCCGUAACUGGUCUGAGAGGAUGAUCAGUCACACUGGAACUGAGACACGGUCCAGACUCCUACGGGAGGCAGCAGUGGGGAAUAUUGGACAAUGGGCGAAAGCCUGAUCCAGCCAUGCCGCGUGUGUGAAGAAGGUCUUCGGAUUGUAAAGCACUUUAAGUUGGGAGGAAGGGCAGUAAGUUAAUACCUUGCUGUUUUGACGUUACCAACAGAAUAAGCACCGGCUAACUUCGUGCCAGCA